GAUGAAGAACGUAGCGAAAUGCGAAAAGUAAUGUGAAUUGCAGAAUUCAGUGAACCAUCGAAUCUUUGAACGCACAUUGCGCCCGCUGGAACUCCGGCGGGCACGCCUGUCCGAGCGUCAUUUCAACCCUCAGGCCCCCCUUCGCGGGCGGGCCUGGUGUUGGGGCCCGGCCGCUACCCUGCGGCCGUCCCCUAAAUUCAGUGGCGGCCUCGCCGUGAUCCCUUGCGUAGUAUGCACCUCGCACCGGAGAGCGCCGUGGCCACGCCGUAAAACCCCCAAUUUUCAAUGGUUGACCUCGGAUCAGGUGGGAAUACCCGCUGAACUUAAGCAUAUCAAUAAGCGGAGGA
rnacentral:misc_RNA from 1 species